rnacentral:rRNA from 1 species
UACGUAGGGGGCUAGCGUUGCUCGGAAUCACUGGGCGUAAAGGGCGCGUAGGCGGCCGAUUAAGUCGGGGGUGAAAGCCUGUGGCUCAACCACAGAAUUGCCUUCGAUACUGGUUGGCUUGAGACCGGAAGAGGACAGCGGAACUGCGAGUGUAGAGGUGAAAUUCGUAGAUAUUCGCAAGAACACCAGUGGCGAAGGCGGCUGUCUGGUCCGGUUCUGACGCUGAGGCGCGAAAGCGUGGGGAGCAAACAGG